GGUGUUUGCGGUUAAGGUUUUCCCGCCUAUAUUGGGUGUGUCUUCGCAAGAAGACUAUGGUGAUAAACCCUCGCGUAAUAAGCAGACCGGACCCGGGGGCAGUGCCCGGCGGCUCCACCAGAUUUCACUCCGGGCAUUGGCCGGACUGUCUGGGGCCGACACAGGAUCGACGGAUGUGUAAAGGUGAAGACUUUACCCGCUUUGGCCCCGAUAGAAGCCUUUUACGCAAUAGUUGCCAAUGACAACUUUGCUCAGGAAGCUCGCCUCGCUGCGUAAGCAGCUGGUGAUUUCCAAACCUAAGUCCUUAGCUCUAGCAAGUUAAGGCGGGGCUCGGGGCGGCGCCUGGCAACAGAAGCCGCCCCACU
rnacentral:tmRNA from 1 species